rnacentral:rRNA from 1 species
GAUGAACGCUGGCGGCGUGCCUAAUACAUGAAGUCGAGCGAACGGACGAGAAGCUUGCUUUUCUGAUGUUAGCGGCGGACGGGUGAGUAACACGUGGAUAACCUACCUAUAAGACUGGGAUAACUUCGGGAAACCGGAGCUAAUACCGGAUAAUAUUUUGAACCGCAUGGUUCAAAAGUGAAAGACGGUCUUGCUGUCACUUAUAGAUGGAUCCGCGCUGCAUUAGCUAGUUGGUAAGGUAACGGCUUACCAAGGCAACGAUGCAUAGCCGACCUGAGAGGGUGAUCGGCCACACUGGAACUGAGACACGGUCCAGACUCCUACGGGAGGCAGCAGUAGGGAAUCUUCCGCAAUGGGCGAAAGCCUGACGGAGCAACGCCGCGUGAGUGAUGAAGGUCUUCGGAUCGUAAAACUCUGUUAUUAGGGAAGAACAUAUGUGUAAGUAACUGUGCACAUCUUGACGGUACCUAAUCAGAAAGCCACGGCUAACUACGUG